rnacentral:rRNA from 1 species
AGAGUUUGAUCCUGGCUCAGGAUGAACGCUAGCGACAGGCUUAACACAUGCAAGUCGAGGGGCAGCGGGGCGGCAGGCUUGCCUGCCGUUGCCGGCGACCGGCGCACGGGUGAGUAACACGUAUGCAACCUGCCCGUGGCAGGGGGAUAAGCGGGGGAAACCCCGUCUAAUACCGCGUAACGCGGCCUAGGGACAUCCCAAGGCCGCCAAAGGGAGCAAUCCCGGCCACGGAUGGGCAUGCGGCGCAUUAGCUAGUCGGCGGGGUAACGGCCCACCGAGGCGACGAUGCGUAGGGGUUCUGAGAGGAAGGCCCCCCACACUGGUACUGAGACACGGACCAGACUCCUACGGGAGGCAGCAGUGAGGAAUAUUGGUCAAUGGGCGCGAGCCUGAACCAGCCAAGUCGCGUGAGGGAGGACGGCCCUACGGGUUGUAAACCUCUUUUGCCGGGGAGCAACGGGCGUCACGUGUGGCGCCACUGAGAGUACCCGGAGAAAAAGCAUCGGCUAACUCCGUGCCAGCAGCCGCGGUAAUACGGAGGAUGCGAGCGUUAUCCGGAUUUAUUGGGUUUAAAGGGUGCGUAGGCGGAUCGUUAAGUCAGUGGUCAAACUGAGGGGCUCAACCCCUUCCCGCCAUUGAAACUGGCGUUCUUGAGUGGAAGAGAAGUAUGCGGAAUGCGUGGUGUAGCGGUGAAAUGCAUAGAUAUCACGCAGAACCCCGAUUGCGAAGGCAGCAUGCCGGCUUCCGACUGACGCUGAAGCACGAAAGCGUGGGGAUCGAACAGGAUUAGAUACCCUGGUAGUCCACGCGGUAAACGAUGAGCGCUAGGUGUCCGGGGGGAAAUGCCCCUGGG